UGAACCUUAGUUUCAGCCCUGGAGCCCUUGAGAGAGCUCUGCUGUUGGUUAGUAAUUACCGUGAAAGUAUUCAGCUUCUUCAUUACAAGGACAGAAAGUGUGUUGUUAUGAGGAUUCAAUGAGGAGACCUGUAUGAAGUGCCUUCCCCUGUGCCUGGCUCAUAGGCACAGGUUACCUUCAGCGCCAUGGCCUUUUCAUCAAGGUUCGCCUUCUGGGAGCAAAAGGAAAGUUGGAUUUUAAAAUCUUUAUGUUUUUCCUGUG
rnacentral:lncRNA from 1 species